CAGAUGAUGAUCCCAAGCCUUCUGGCGGUCUACGCAAGUAAGCUCUCAUCAAAAGCUUUAAGGAAAGCUCUUUGUUUUUUGAAAGGGUGCUUUUAUGAGAUAAAGCUUUUUUAGAUAAUGCUUUUUUAGAUAAUGCUGGGGAAGGUUUUCCGGUUUAUCUCGGAGGGCUUGUAGCUCAGUUGGUUAGAGCGCGCGCUUGAUAAGCGUGAGGUCGGAGGUUCAAGUCCUCCCAGGCCCACCAAUUUACCUAUCCAUUUGCUUUUAUCCGUUUAUUUGCCGAUUUAUCGGUCCAUUGAAUUUAAGUGUUGGUAGCAGUUUUUAUAAUGAUGAGAAAUCAUGCUUAUAAAAGAACUCCUUAUAAAAGGCUUGUUUUUAAAAUGUGACGCUUAUCCAUUUUGCUUAGGCAAGAGAAACUUCAAGCGGUUCAAAUGCAAAAGGCUUUAAAUUUUGCAAAACAAUUUGAAUUUGGCAAAACAAUUUGAAUUUUAAAGUGAUCCAAGUUCGUGAUCUCGAAUUUAAAAGUUUCGAAUGCUUUAUCCUUUUUUGGGGGCCGUAGCUCAGCUGGGAGAGCACCUGCUUUGCAAGCAGGGGGUCGUCGGUUCGAUCCCGUCCGGCUCCACCAUUUAGAUCAUCAUCAUUGUUGUGAGAACACUCUUUAGUGAGAGGUUAAGUAGC
rnacentral:tRNA from 1 species